rnacentral:lncRNA from 1 species
AACAACAAACAAACAUAUAUUCUAAAUUUUAUUUCGUAAUAACUUAAUGUAACCUAUAAAUAAAUGAAUGAUAGAAAUGGAUUAUUGCACAGAAAAAUUGAAAGAAAAUAAUAAUAUACUUAGAAUCCAAAUUCUAUAUAUAUCCUGGCACUGCAGCUACCAGAUAAUAAGUUCAACAGACAAGCAAAAUAAUCAAUCCAGACAGUGAAGCACAAGAAGCAGGGAAGUUUUAUCUGGUGUUUCUAUAUCUACUCCAUAUACAGUGCUUUCCAAGUGUCGGCCAAACCAUGUGUCAAGCUACCCUUAAACCCCUAUUAGGUAAAAGCUACACAGAAACACUUUUUACACACUCGUGUUUGAAAUAUAUAUUACAAACAUUUUUGUCUAGUAUUGAUGCUAGCAACAAAAAAGGACAUACUAAAUCAGUUUGUAAAGAUUUUCUAUCAAAACACAUUUAUUUGCUCUGAAUAAUUGCACAGGCACAUUUCUGCACUAAAUAAAAUUGGGUCCAUCUAAGUACUAAAAGCAUUCUUUCAAAUUAUGUACAAUCUAAAAAUAUUUUUCCCUCAUAUUAAAACUUGAGUAUAGAUCCUUGCUAAAAAUUUGUUUCUUAAAAGUGGAAGUUUUUGAACAAUUGUCCUUUUAAUGUCUUGAAGAAAACAUGUCUAAAAAUAAAUAUAUUGUAACAAACAAAUAAACAAACCAUAAAGGAAACGAAAUUUCAAAGAUAACAAUCUCCAAAACUCCCAGACAGUGUCUCAAAGAAUCAUAAAUAUAAAUAGUUUAAAAUAUAUGGGUAAACAAAUAUACGUUUCUAAAUAUAGUCGGCUAGGUUUACCUAGAUCUCUAAUGAGUCAAAUAGCCCAUAAACUUGAAUUGGCUGUCUCUCUGUAUAAGUUGGAUACCCCUAACACCGAAAUAUCAAAUCUGAGUAGUUCUUCAAAAUCACAAUAUGGUCAUACAUAUCUCCAGGUAUUUCUACCACCUUAUCAUCCAAAGGUAGGUAACUCGAAACAAAAUAUACCUUUUAAUUCAAAGGUAGAUAAUAUACCUUUUAAUCCGAAGGUAGAUAAUAUACCUUUUAAUUCGAAGGUAGAUAAUAUACCUUUUAAUCCGAAGGUAGAUAAUAUACCUUUUAAUUCGAAGGUAGAUAAUAUACCUUUUAAUCCGAAGGUAGAUAAUAUACCUUUUAAUUCGAAGGUAGAUAAUAUACCUUUUAAUCCGAAGGUAGAUAAUAUACCUUUUAAUUUGAAGGUAGAUAAUAUACCUUUAAUCCGAAGGUAGAUAACUUAAUACAAAAUAUCCCUUUUAAUCCAAAGGUAGAUAACUUAAUACAAAAUAUACCUUUUAAUCCAAAGGUAGAUAACUUAAUACAAAAUAUACCUAUUAAUCCAAAGGUAGAUAACUUAAUACAAAAUAUACCUUUUAAUCCAAAGGUAGAUAACUUAAUACAAAAUAUACCUUUACAUCCAAAGGUAUAUAACUUAAUACAAAAUAACUCAAUAUGAUGCGUCAAUAGAAUACAAUAUUCAUAGCACUAAAUCUGGAGAUACCUAUUAUCUCCCUUUGACCAAUCAUGAGUUCUUUUCUUAUUAUUGCACAUUCUAUUCAUUAAAUACCUUUGAAAUCCAUUCUUUCCAAUAAAAGAUUUGUUAAAACUUGCAUGUUUUCCAUGAGAAAAAAUUUUGUAAUGAGUUGAAUCAAACUUGAAUGAAAUGGGACCAAUGGAGAAGUUCAUUGUUAAACCACGGACUUAGAUAACCUAAUCUAACCUCAUUCCGUGGUUAAACUAUAAUCUAGAAUUGCUAAAAUCAACCUGGAAAAAGUUAGAAGAGGUCAAUUUUGCUGACACAUGAAAGACAUAACCAUAGAAAUUGAAAUAACAACCGAAUAUGAAAAUGGCUAGGUAUGAAAAUGGCUAGGAAAGUAUCGUCAUACAUGACCGUGAGCUGGAAUCAUGUAUCCUGACCAAGUCUAUAGUGAGAAAUGGACAUCUUCGCACAGAAUAUCACAAACAGUCUUUGGUGCCAAAUAAAAAGCAUUUUGCUUCUAAAGCCAAUUGAAUCGGUAAAGCUUUUUAUAAGGGUAAUUAAAUCUCCUUAUUUAUUAGUGUUCUUGAUCAACAAAUGAUAAGUUAAAGCUCUUCAGCCAGUUUAGGGAUUCAGCUAGCACUGUUGGGAGCACUGCAGCACUCUAUAUGAAAGCCACCACCUUACAACUACAUGCUCUACCAACACAAACCGUUUGUGUCUAUCUCAAGCUGAGAUUUCAGUUACAUUAUGUUUAUAUGGCAAAUAAGACACUUGAGCUCAAACUGAGCUUGAGAAUGAGACGAGUAUGAAAUUGGAGCUUAAAGAGUGGAGUUUAUUAAUCGCUGUGAUAAAUAGGCAUGUUACUGAAGUGUUGCCACUUAUAAAAUUUUGACACCAAUAACAGUAAAAACCGAAUAUGAUCGUUUUCACAGAAACAAAAAAUGAAGUUUCAGCACACAAAAAAUAAAACAACUGACAACAAAUGGUUAAGGCAGAAAUGGUGAAAAAAUUAAGCUGUUGAUUAAAACUACACUGUAUUAUUAACUUUGGAGAGUAAUUCUAGACCACUUUAAAUCACCAAGUUUUUCUACUUAGUUAAGGUUACCGAACUUUGGAGAGUAAUUCUAGGCCACUCUAAAUCACCAAGUAUUUCUACUUAAAGUAAAGGUUACCAAACUUUGGAGAGUAAUUCUAGGCCACUCUUAAUCACCAAGUAUUUCUACUUAAAAUAAAGGUUACCGAAUUCUAGGCCACUCUUAAUCACCAAGUAUUUCUAACUUAGUUAAGGUUACCAAACUUUGGAGAGUAAAUCUAGGCCACUCUAAAUCACCAAGUAUUUCUACUUAGUUAAGGUUUCCGAACUUUGGAGAGUAAUUCUAGGCCACUCUAAAUCACCAAGUUUUUCUACUUAAAGUUAAGGUUACCGAAGUUUGGACAGUCAUUCUAGGCCACUUUUAAUCACCAAGUAUUUCUA